rnacentral:rRNA from 1 species
UACGAAGGGGGCUAGCGUUGCUCGGAAUCACUGAGCGUAAAGGGUGCGUAGGCGGGUCUUUUAAGUCAGGGGUGAAAUCCUGGAGCUCAACUCCAGAACUGCCUUUGAUACUGAGGAUCUUGAGUUCGGGAGAGGUGAGUGGAACUGCGAGUGUAGAGGUGAAAUUCGUAGAUAUUCGCAAGAACACCAGUGGCGAAGGCGGACUCACUG